AUUGAACGCUGGCGGCAGGCCUAACACAUGCAAGUCGAGCGGAUGAAGGGAGCUUGCUCCUGGAUUCAGCGGCGGACGGGUGAGUAAUGCCUAGGAAUCUGCCUGGUAGUGGGGGAUAACGUCCGGAAACGGGCGCUAAUACCGCAUACGUCCUGAGGGAGAAAGUGGGGGAUCUUCGGACCUCACGCUAUCAGAUGAGCCUAGGUCGGAUUAGCUAGUUGGUGGGGUAAAGGCCUACCAAGGCGACGAUCCGUAACUGGUCUGAGAGGAUGAUCAGUCACACUGGAACUGAGACACGGUUCAGACUCCUACGGGAGGCAGCAGUGGGGAAUAUUGGACAAUGGGCGAAAGCCUGAUCCAGCCAUGCCGCGUGUGUGAAGAAGGUCUUCGGAUUGUAAAGCACUUUAAGUUGGGAGGAAGGGCAGUAAGUUAAUACCUUGCUGUUUUGACGUUACCAACAGAAUAAGCACCGGCUAACUUCGUG
rnacentral:rRNA from 1 species